rnacentral:rRNA from 1 species
UACGUAGGGGGCAAGCGUUGUCCGGAAUCAUUGGGCGUAAAGCGCGCGUAGGCGGCCCGGUAAGUCCGCUCUGAAAGUCCAGGGCUCAACCCUGGAAAGCGGGUGGAUACUGCCGGGCUAGAAUCCGGAAGAGGCGAGUGGAAUUCCUGGUGUAGCGGUGGAAUGCGUAGAUAUCGGGAGGAACACCAGUGGCGAAGGCGGUUGCCUGGAGCUUUGCUGACGCUGAUGCGCGAAAGCGUGGGGAGCGAUCCGG